rnacentral:rRNA from 1 species
AGCACACGAAGAGGAGCAAUAACAGGUCUGUGAUGCCCUUAGAUGUUCGGGGCUGCACGCGCGCUACAAUGGAGGGCUCAGAAAGCGUAACGAUUUCGACAGAAAUCGGCAAUCAUAAAUAGCCUUCUUGAUUGGGAUCGGAGAUUGUAAUUAUUCUUCGUCAACGAGGAAUUCCUAGUAAACGCGAAUCAUUAUUUCGUGUUGAUUAAGUCCCUGCCC